rnacentral:tRNA from 1 species
GCUCCGGUAGUGUAGUCCGGCCCAGCAUGGGGGACUCUCGAUCCCCCGACCCGGGUUCAAAUCCCGGCCGGAGCACCA